rnacentral:lncRNA from 1 species
UCAGCUCUCACUGUCCCACAUCUCCAUCUGAGCAUGUUUGUAAGCACAAUGGGUUCCUCGUGCAGCCUGAGGAAGGAGGUCAGAGGGGAAAGAAGAUGUAAGCACACGUUCUAUAUAUGCUAUCAUGGCACAGUUGUUUAUCCCAGCCAUCAGAGGGAAGGGGCAAGCAGAUCUCCACGAAUUCAAGGCCAGCCUGGUCUACACGGCAAGUUCCAAGCUAGCCAGUCCCACAUAGUGAACUGUCUCAAAUUAAUUGAUUAAAUUAGCAUUUUCAAUGUUCUAUUCAUGUUGAUACAUUAAAUAUCAGAUUUUUAAUUAUUGUGCGUGUGUGUAUGCAUACAUAAUGCUGUAUGCAUAUCUAAUAUGUGUAUGUAUGUGGAGGUCAGAUGACAACUCUGGGGAAUCGGUUCCAUCCCUCCCCCUUUAUGUGAGUUGCAGGGAUUCAAACUCAGGUUGCCAGGUUCGGGCAGCCAGCUGUUACCCACUGAGCAUCUCACGCCGCUGGGAGGAUCUUCUGAAUUAUUUGUUGCAUUUGGUGAAAGUUAUGCAUUUGCCAGGCACUUCUCAGAAACUGACAGUGCAGGCGGAACCACAAGUCUGCUGUGUUGGGUACAGGGGUGGCUCCACAAAGCUAGGAGCCAGCAGAACCUCAGCUGGGGUUAUACUCUCUUGGAGCUGGGUAGACAUGUCUAAGGAGGCAGGCACCUGAGAGUGUGAGGCCCAUUCCUCCUCUCACCGUAUGGCCCUUGUCAUAGCUAGGAUUUCUACUGCUGUGAUUAAACACCAUGACCAAGAGCAACUUGGGAGGGAAAGGUUUGUGUAGAGAGGAUCUCUUGUGUAUCAUAUGGACAAACCACCUGUCCAUUAAAGAACCUACAGUCACAGCUGAAGAGAUGGCUUAGUGGGUAAGAGCACUCGUUCUUCCUCUGGAAGACCUGGGUUCAAUUCCCAGCACUGACGUGGAAGCUACCAAUAAUCUACAACUCCAGUUCCAAGGCAUCUGAUGCCCUCCUCUGGCCUCUGCAGACACUGUGUGCACAGGGUACACACAUACGUGCACUGCAAACACACAAAUAGG